UUAUAUUUAUUUAAUUUUUAUUGGUUGUUUAUUUAUAUAUUUAUUUAAAGUAUUUUUUUUAUGUUUUUUGUUUAGUAGUUUUUUGAAAUGCUUGUUUUUAUUAUAGUUUAUUUUUAAUGUAAGUGGCUAUUUUAUAUAAUGAUAAAGAAUUUUAUUGUAUUUUACCUUUUGUAUCAGGGUUGAUUUAAUAUUGGUUUAUUAUUGAUUUUUCUCGAAUUGGUAGGAUUUAUCUUAUUAUGUUUUUUGGUGUAGCAAAAUUAUUUUUAAUAUUAAGAUGGUAGUGAAAUGCUAUUCGUUUAUUAAUAUAUCUAGUUUUCUAAGAUAAAAUUUAAUUUUAUAGGGGUUUUGGUUUAGGGUUUUUUUUAUUUUUUCUUUAAUUUCUUUUUAUUCUUUAGGGGUUAAGCUUUAGAGGUUUUUAUAAUUUAUUUUGUUAAAUGAUUUUGUAGGCUUGAGAUUAGCCAUCGUUAAAAUUACGUUUUAGUUUAGUUAUUUUUUUUUAAUUAUUUUUUAAUAGUUUAGUUGUUUUAUUAGAAUAUAGGCUUUAAUAAUAUUUGUUUAUUAAUAAUGGUUGAAUUAGUAUAUUUUAUGUUUAAUAUUUAAUUGGUUGGAGAUCAAUUAAAGGAACUCGGCAAAUUUUUAGUGUUUCCGACUGUUUAUCAAAAACAUUUCUUAUAGUUUUAUUUAUUUUAAGUAAGGCCUGCCCACUGAGUUAUUAAAGGGCCGCGGUAUUUUGACUGUGCAAAGGUAGCAUAAUCAUUAGUAUAUUAAUUGUAUGCUGGGAUGAAAGGUUUAACGAGAAAUUCUCUGUCUCUAGUUGAUAUUUAGAAUUUUAUUUUUCAGUAAAAAAGCUGAGAUUUUUUUUUUGGACGAUAAGACCCUAUAGAGUUUUAUUUUAUCUUUAUAUAUAGGUUGGGCUUAUUUUUUUUUAUAUUUUAAGUUCUAAUUUGGUUGGGGUGAUUUGAGUAAUAGUUAAACUACUCAUUUUUGUUUUCAUUUAUUAGUGUUUUUGUUGAUCUUGCAUUGUUGAUUAUAAGAGUAAAUUACCUUAGGGAUAACAGCGUAAUUAUUUUUGAGAGUUCUUAUUGACGAAAUAGAUUGCGACCUCGAUGUUGGAUUAAAAUUUAUUUGUGGGUGCAGGUGCUUGCAAUAAUUGGUCUGUUCGACCAUUAAAUUUUUACAUGAUCUGAGUUCAGACCGGCGUGAGCCAGGUUGGUUUCUAUCCAAAAAUUUUUUUUUAUUUUCUAGUACGAAAGGACCGUUAAUUUUAAUUAUUUUAUUUUAUUUGAUUGUUAUUA
rnacentral:rRNA from 1 species